UGGGACUUGUAGGCGGCAAGCCCUGAAGCCAACCGUCCUGGCCACCAGCAGCAGUGUGCCACCCAGGGGGAACUGAGACCCCAGGAAGGCACCUAUGUGGCUCAAGACUUCAGAGCCAGACAGUCUUGGCCCUCUAGGGAUGCCAAGAACAUACUUUAACUGGUUUUCAAAAGUAGCUUCUUAAGGGGUCUUUUGGUCAGGAGCCCUCUUUACACCCACCAUGAAUUCGCUCAACAGACAUUGCCCAAGGCAGGCUUCCCUUGCCAAGCCCUACAGUUUGAGGAAAACCAGCAAGAGCCCUGCUGUCAGGGAGCUCACUCAGCAGUAUCAGGAGACCCUUAGACCCGGAGGAGGCCAGGCUGGCUUCUGGCCUUCUGUGUAGCAGGGGAUGAGCCUGUAAUCCUCUCAACUCCACCUCCUGAGCAUUAAAAUCAGUGUGCCAUGACAGCGAGAUUUACAUCUCUUCAACAAGGGGCCCGCGUUUGCAUUUGUGCUGGGCCAGAAGACUUCUGCAGGCUGGCAUCUUGUCCCCCAGCCUUGGGCCCCUUCCCACACAUGGCAUGCUGUGCUCUCUGUUUGUUUUCCGGCAAAGGGUGGCCCCAGAGUCCCCAUGCUAGUGAUAAAGAAGCCCAGCCGCCUGUGCUCUUUCGCAUGGCCUCGUGGCUUUUAGCCUCCAUCAGGCUGUUAAAGAUACAGUCAUUGUGAAUUAGCCCUCGCUUCCACAGAAGCCCGAGGGUCCCAGGGGUAUGCUUCUGUUGAAGCCCCAGCAUAAAGUGCCUGACACCCCAGGUCUCCAAAAAUAUUUAUGAUGCGAAUUAUGUAUGUAUAUACAUAUUAUAUAUAUGGCAAAAUACACUUUGCAUUUACUUUU